GGGAAAUAUCCUGUGCGCGUCUCUAUUAUGAUCGAGUGUAAAUGAGGGCCGCCGGCAGGCUGGAAACUAGCUACUGCGGUAGCAGUUGCUCUCUGAAGCCGCAAGCUGCCCUGCAGCAUACGGAGUUCCAGGGCCAAGAGAUCAGAUUGGAGCCGCAGUUGCAACAGCAGAUCCUUAACCCACUGUGCCAGCCCGAGGAUCAAACCUGUGUUCCAGCACCCCAGAGACUCCACCAAGCACAACAACAGGAACAUCGUCCCUAAACAACUUUAAAUCAAAAUUCAAGCUGUGAUUUCUUCCUCUUUGUUCUGCUGAUCUUGGAGCACUACCCUACUCAAGGCUACUUGGGAGCCAUUUGGUGCUCUAGCCGCUCUGUCUUUCCAGGUCAGAAGAGAGAAACAAUAUUGAGAAUGUUUCCAGUUCUUCAGAUAUUGGACUUCUGGGAGUUCCUGUCGUGGCUCAGCAGAAACAAAUCUGAGUAGCAUCCAUGAGGACGCAGAUCCCUGAGCAAUCAUCUAAGAAGUCUGAUCACCUGAAUAGACCACAUGGAGAGACUGUGGGAGCACAUGAAGAGAGGUGGGCAGGGGGAACCCAGCUGCAUCCAACAAUCCAGAAAUCCCUAUCAAGAUGCUAGACAUGAAGGAAACCAUCUUGGAUCCACCAGAUCAACCUAGCCACCAGCUGGAUACCACUGAGAGAUGCCAGUGGAGCAGAAUUGUC
ensembl:lncRNA uncharacterized LOC100739062